rnacentral:snRNA from 1 species
GCUUAUCGCCUAGUGCACAUUAUAAAAUUGAAACGAUACAGAGAAGAUUAGCAUGGCCCCUGCGCAAGGAUGACAUCUAAUAUCGUGAAGCGUUCCAAAUUUUU